CUCAGUACAGUAGAAACUGUGCCUUACAAGAUAGUCAGUCUCAGUACAGUAGAAACAGUGCCUUACAUGUCAAGAUAGUCAGUCUCAGUACAGUAGAAACUGUGCCUUACAAGAUAGUCAGUCAUUGUUAUUAUUAUAUCCUGCUUGGUUCUUAAAAUAUAUAAUAGAAAUACUUGUAAACUGUAAAUAUAAAAAAAGAAGAUGUGGUAUGAUUGCCAAUGAGACAACUAUCCACAAAAAGACCAAAAUGACACAAACAUUAACAACUAUAGGUCACUGUACAGCCUUCAACAAUGAGCAAAGCCUGUGUUCGAAAAUAUUUUUGAAACACAAUAUUGCUUUAUGUAUAAUAUUUAAUUAUCCUAUAUUUUUCUUUAAGAUUUAUAUAAAAUAUCAUUCAUACAAUAAAACUAUGAAACAAGUUUAUUUCUACAAGCUUUGAUAUAUGGGAGAUAACUCAAUUUAUGUGAUAAUUGUUGAUUGAUCAAAGUUUUGAAAUGUUGUGUUUUCAUGUUAUAUGAUUUACUUAUUUCUAGAAUACAUUAAUAUCAUUUAAAAAAAUUACAGCAAUUUGUAUCUUAUAUACCGGUAUGGGAUUCACAUUUGCAUGGUUGCAGUUCCUGUACAGGUUAAUUACUUGAUCAAUGAAGUAAGUUGCUUUUGCAUUAGUUCAAUUUACACAUUGGUAUGUUUCUUUCAGAUUACAAUUGAGGAUGAAGAUAUCUUUUAUAUAAGGCCAUCUGAUAUAAUUAAUUUGCAGCUAUCAAAAGUUAAAAUUGCCGAACAAAUGCAAUGAUAUAUUUUUAUCUGUCCGUCAAACCCUCCAUAUGUCUUGUAAGGGCAUAAAGGGAAAUAAGGAUAGUCGAAAAUAUUUUAAUGGAGAUAAUUGAACUAUUCUAAGUUUAAUAUUGCAAUAUGUGUCAACACUGGACUUGUAAACACAACUCCUCAUAAAUUGCAUGAUCGUUAUUGAUGAAACAUUACUUAUAAUGUUACAAUAAGCAAUUGAGAAUGUGCACAAUGGAACAUAAUUGUGGUUUUAAAAUAUUUCAAGGGAGAUAAUUGAAUUAACUUAAUCUUUAUUGCAAUAUGUUGCAACAGGUCUUAAUGUAAGAUCAUUAUAUGACAACCCUCUUUAAUGGCUUGAAUGAAAUUGAUCAACUUUUUACAGUUGCAGGAAACAAUCAUGGAAUAAUUAUUAUUAACUGUUUAAGUCCCUUUAUAACUUUCAAAAGCAAUGAAUUUGUGUUAUCUGACAAAUUCUUAUAAUUUUGUUUGCCGUGUAGCAGUGAUCCUUCCCUCCCCCUCCCCCACCACACAAUUUUUAAAAAUGAUAUCUUUUGCUUUAACAUUUCUGAUACAGGUAUCCAAAAGAAUCAAAUUUCAUAUCACACUAGAACAAAGGGAUAAAGCAGGGAAAAGACAUCGAGUCUCUUAUGGCCAACAACUCAAAAGACAAAGAUUAUUUGUUGGUGACCAUGUGUGCAAUGGAGUCAAUGCUGGGUAAAGGGUUGAUGGACAAUACAAUUGCAGCAUAGUUUUGUCACAGUACUAGGCGUGCAGCUAAAGAAAAUUGCAGAUUUUGUAAGCAAAGGUGAGCCAAGAACAAUGGAAACAACAGAGGAAAUAUUGCAGGAGGUAGAUCAGUACCCAUCACAUUCUACUAACCAUUGCAUCAAAAGAAAGAAAAAGGCUGAUGAGCUAAAUAAAGCUGAGUUGUGGGAUCCUCAAAGGGAUCUACCACCAGAUUUACUGCACUGCUGAUAUUUGGGUGAGAUAUAUGUUUUGAUAUUGCUAUCCUCCAUGCUCAGUUCCUCCACAGAUUUACAGAAGAAUUGUACACCUUCCUUUGUUAAUUAGAACUUACUAAUAGAAGACAAUUCAAAAAGUCAGAACUUGCACACCUAGAAGACAUUCAAAUUAUGUUUAACCAAAAGGUAUUUGACAGAGUUAAUUCAGCAAGACGAACAAUGGAGGAAAUACAUAGAAGAAUUCAGAGUUUUUGUGUGUGGAAACCAAAUUGAAAAUAAUGAUGGUCAUAGAUCUGUAAAACGAAGCCCUGAUGGAAAAAAAUUUAAAAAUCCAGAGGCAGAACAAAAAUGGUGAAAAAUUAAGAAUAGGAGAUGUAGUUUAUUACAUCCAUAAUGAUCAAAUCUCAACCCUUGAUGGAACUUUACAACAACAUAAGAAGCCAAGAUCAACGAUACUUGGAACUACAUCAUCAUGUUUAAUAAGUAAACAUGUACUGUCAGACUCCAUAUUAGAACCAAUCCACACUUUGUGUCUUCAUGUAUCUCCAAUGUGUUGUCAGAAUCCAGACACUUAAUGAGCAAAAGAUAAAUUAUAAUUUGGAACUGUAUGCUUUAGUGCUGGCAAAAUCCAUUACAAAAUUACAAAAGGACAUACUUUACCUACCUGUCCCAAUGAUGUCUACUUUACCUACCUGUCCCAAUGAUGAGACCUACUUUACCUACCUGUCCCAAUGAUGAGACCUACUUUACCUACCUGUCCCAAUGAUGUCUACUUUACCUACCUGUCCCAAUGAUGAGACCUACUUUACCUACCUGCUCCAAUGAUGAGACCUACUUUACCUACCUGUCCCAAUGAUGAGACCUACUUUACCUACCUGUCCCAAUGAUGAGACCUACUUUACCUACCUGUCCCAAUGAUGAGACCUACUUUACCUACCUGUCCCAAUGAUGAAUACAGACUAUUGAUUCUUGUAAAAAAGAACACUGAAGAAAAUAUUGAUAUAAAAGUAUUGAGAAUAUAAAACUGAUCAGCUAAGGAUUGUACAUGUACUUGAUGUAUACAUGUCAACAAUUACUUGUAUAUUAAAAUUAACAACAUUAAUAAAUGUCUUAUAAAUUUGAUCUUAUUAUAAUAGACAUAU